GUUUUUUUGAAAUCUCCCAGCUCACAGUGCCACUUCCUCCAACAAGGAUAUAUACCUAAUCUGGGGACAGACAGUGCUUUACUAGAGCAGAGGAAAUCCAAACGGGUCAUUUCCAUCUGCCCUGGGGCCUGUCUCUACAACUCUGCCACACUC